GCCUUCAGCCAGAAUGCUGGCUUUAUUUUUGCGGUUUAUGAGCUUGAGACAGGGAAUUCAUUUCCUUGGUAUAAUAUGACCCUCUGGAGAAAGUCUUGUCCAGAUAUAUUUUGCUCCCAAACGCCGCCCUAGAAGAAGGACUACACUGAAAUGAAACGGAGAUGAUUAAAGUCUGAUUUAUAGGCUGUACAAGCCCUGAAAGCAAGAACGGGGUUCACGGCAUCUUGAUACCCCCAUGUGGGGACGUUUUGGCGAUUUUAUUUACAAGAAAGGGAUUUUACACCGGAGAGGCUUUUAAAUAUGCUAACAGACUGGACCAGCUUUCUCAUCCCCACUGGCUGAUUAAUGAUUCCUCCAUGCCAACCCGGUUCUCAGAGACACCAAGGCCAGCUCUCCAAAGACCUGGGAAAAAAUUACUUCAUGUCCUUGUAAAAACGUUUUCACAAAUUUAAGUGCACCAGCUUUGAAGCAAGACAGAAUUGGGAUCAAGUCCCUGUUCCACCCUUACCAGUUCCCAUAUGGCCACGAGGGGAGAUGCCAGAAAAACCAGGGAAAACCAAGAGAUGACCAACUGCUGGUGACACAUCUAUAAGAAGGGAGAGAAGCAGGGGGAAGAGAAGGAGGAAAAGAGAAGGAAGAGGAAGAAAAAAGAGAAGAAAGAAUGUCAAUAAUUCUUGUUACCUUUGUGAACCAUAUACACAUUCUAGCUACUUUUUUU
rnacentral:lncRNA from 10 species